ensembl:lncRNA
AACGCGGUUGCCACAGCAACGGUGGGGCGUGUCCGGCCAGGCACCCGGAGCGGAGCGUUCAUCCCGCAGACGCAGAUGCUGUUGCUCCUGAGACGAGAGGGCCCUUGAGGUACCGAGCCAGACGCGGAAGUGAGGCCAGUUCUCGGGGGGCUCUGUGGGCUCCAGCUGCCUCGCGGUGGGGUUCCAGAUCCAACACCGCAAGGCCCUUGGCGGCACUAGCCCCCAGGAGCUGGCCCGGGACUCGGAGCAGAGCCGACUGAAUCAGGGUGGCUGUGAAGGCGUCCGCCCCAGGCCAGCUGACAGGUCGUCCAGCCGACUCCCAGGCGCAGCCAGGCUGAGAGCCCCGCUUCGGGCGGCUGCGUCUGCAGCGGCUUCUGUCCGGCUGAAGUGUGGUUCACACCAUCCUACAGCACUUCCUCUGCCGGCUCCGCGGCCGCAGCGGUCACCGCCAGCACGUCCCCGAGCUUGUGCCGACGACCUUCUGCCAGCGGUGUCCAGUGGCCCGUCCGCGCUCCACGGGCUCCUGGGAGCCCUGCUCUGAUCAGGCGCUUCUACCGGCCCCUUCGAGAAUCCAUCAAUCAUCCGGGACCCCUUCGGUGCAGACGACCCUGUGGAUGGUCGACGGGGCGUGGGUGUCUCCAGCAGAGGGGCUUCAGCCGGAGAAAGCGGCUCGCAGAGAGUUUCCGCCCGCCUGCCGCCCGGAGGUCAGAAGAUGACAUCGCAGAAACAAAAUUGGCAGCAAAGUGGCUGAAAUGAGAUCUUUUCUUAGAUCUUGGCAGGGGAGAGGCUGACCUUGGAGGAAGGAGUUUGGGGAUCAGUCCCUUGCUGCUCUGUUUUUCAGGAGCAGAAGGGAGGGAGCCUGAGGCCAGCCCAUACCCCGCAAGGCUGCUGCUUGCUGAGCGCCCACCAGGAGCGGCCUGCGGCUGGGGUCCCUCCACCCUGAGCCUGCUCGUGGAGGGCCGUGGGCUCCCCGCCGCCCCUCACCUGAGAGGCACUCUCUGGGGAAGUGGGUGACCUGGAGGGGGCCCUGUGCAGGGGUCUCGGGCAGCAGUGAGUGGAGGCAGCCUGGCAGCCCUGGAGGACAGCGUGCUUCCUGGGACAGGGCGGCAGGAGCGAGAUGCCAGCAGCCUCAUGGUCUGAGCCACAUUCUGGGCGCGGGGCAGGGAGAGAAGAAGCACAGCGCACCUAGAAACGAGAGGGAGGCCAGCAGAGCGCCCCGGGGCAGCCGUCCACGUGAGCCGCCUGUACCAGUCCCGCCUGCCGGCGGGGGAGCUGCCCCGGCAGGGCCCAGCACACCCGCUACACGAGGACCAGGGCCUUGGCAAAGCUGGGGGUGCCAGAGGGCCUGCCCACCUCCAGGGGAGAUCCAGGCCGCGGCCCUGAUGGCAAGCCCCCCCUAGAAUGCCCCAGCUUUUGCCUCUGCAGGCCCACCUGGCCGGGGUCUGGGAGGACACUUCUCCUCCGGGCCGGCCGCCUCCCCGUCCCUGCGUGCUUCCCACUGUAAUGGAACUGCCCUGGGGAGUCAGGUCCCUGCUCUGAACCUCAGGAUCCUAAUCCAUAGAGAGCCUGCUUUCCUCAAGGGGUGCCAGGCUCGGCUGAGUGAAGUGCUGAAAAGUGAGGACAGGCAACCCCAGAGCUCACCCCAGAGCCCACCCCCCAUGCCUGGGCUUCAGGUUUCAACCCUUCUUGGAUGGACCUAGCAGAGAAGGGGCCCCAUUACCCCAGGACCCCCCAACUGUGCUCCUGGAGGGACCGUGAGUGUGGCAGCUUCUCAGGGUCCCAGUGCCGCCCAACCCCUCUCCCAGCCUGAUCUGCAGCCUCUCGGGCCAGGGCGGGAGUCCUGGGAGCUUGGCCACCCCGCUCCCACUUCCUGGUAGGCAGGAGCACAGGGGGAGGUCAGCAGAAAUUGCCGGUACCCCAGUCUUCCCUCCUCCCACCCUCCCGGUCUGGGGCCGGGUAGCACAAAGGGAAUCGCUGACCUUCCCAGAAGCCCCAGGGCCGGGCAGAGGAAGGGGACGUCCAGGUUGGGAGCUGGACCCCAGUGUUUCCCCAAGACUGGACAAAGGUCUGAGCUGGGGUCCCGGGGAAGGAACCCAAGGAAGGGACCACUCCUGACCUGGAGCACAGGGCAGUCUCACCUUCCCCACCAGGAAACCAGGUGACUCCACACCUCAUGGGGUCAAACCUUAGACCCUGGGGAAAGGUGACCCUCCUGCUCGGCCCCCUUGGUCCCUCCGCUCUGCCCAGAGGCUCCUGGGGCAAGAAGUCUGUGCCCUGGGGGUCUGGGGUGCCUGUGAGUGAGAGAUCAGGCAGAGGAGGCCGGCCAGCUCUCACCAGGGGGCAGGGGGCAACCAGCCAAGGCCUGGAAGUGCAGAACUCCUCCCCACACAGGAAGUUCUCGUGCAUGCAGAGUCUCGGGCCCCACCCGGGCCCCUGAGUCAGGAUCCCCUUUUGACAAGCUUCCCACUGAGGCCUUUUCCACUGGGCUUGAGAGACGCUCACCCAUCAAAACAGACGUGAACCAGCAGCAUGAGACGCUGGGACCCAGUCUCAGUCCCAGCUCAGACAAACCGCCUUUGAAAAGUCGUCUUUUGGACAGUAGGUUAAAUCUGUCUCCAGGCAGGUGACAUUAAAUAUAAUCAUGGCAUCG